CGCCUUUUGUAUAUAUAAAUAUAAAAGGUCCUGCCUGCCCAAUGACUUGUUUUAAUGGCCGCGGUAUUGUGACCGUGCAAAGGUAGCGUAAUCAUUUGUCUCUUAAAUACAGACCAGUAUGAACGGCAAGACGAAAGCCUCACUGUCUCCCUAGUCUAAUCAAUGAAAUUGAUCUUCCCGUGCAGAAGCGGAAAUAUAAGUAUAAGACGAGAAGACCCUGUGGAGCUUUAAACUUCAACUAACAACUAUAAAUGAUUUAGUUCCAAGUUUUAGGUUGGGGCGACCGUGAGGUAUAAUAUAACCCUCACGAUAUAUCCAAGAAGGACACUUCAAACAACUAACAUAACAUAUUGACCCAAUAGUUGAUCAACGAACCAAGUUACCCCAGGGAUAACAGCGCAAUCUACUCAAAGAGUCCAUAUCGACGAGCAGGUUUACGACCUCGAUGUUGGAUCAGGACCCCCAAAUAACGCAACAGCUAUAAAAGGUUCGUUUGUUCAACGAUUAAAGUCCU
rnacentral:rRNA from 1 species